UACAGAGGGGGCAAGCGUUGUUCGGAAUUAUUGGGCGUAAAGGGUGCGUAGGCGGUGCGGUAAGUCUUCUGUGAAAUCUACGGGCUUAACUCGUAGUCUGCAGGAGAAACUGCCGUGCUUGAGUAUGGGAGAGGUGAGUGGAAUUCCUGGUGUAGCGGUGAAAUGCGUAGAUAUCAGGAGGAACACCUGUGGCGAAGGCGGCCAUCUGGACCGGCACUGACGCUGAGGCGCGAAAGCGUGGGGAGCAAACAGG
rnacentral:rRNA from 1 species